CCCAAGUGUUGGCUCGUAAGAGUCAUCUGUUUCUUUGUCUAAAAAACAGAGAGAGUAAGGGCUGGGUAAGACGGGUGCCAGCCGCCGCGGUAAUACCUGCAGCCCAAGUGGUGGUCGUUAUUAUUGGGCCUAAAACGUCCGUAGCCGGUUUUGUAAAUGCCUAGGUAAAUCGUACGGCUUAACCGUACGAAUUCUGGGUAGACUGUAAAACUUGAGAUCGGGAGAGGCUAGAGGUACUCCUGGGGUAGAGGUGAAAUUCUGUAAUCCUAGGGGGACCACCAGUGGCGAAGGCGUCUAGCUAGAACGAGUCUGACGGUGAGGGACGAAGCCCUGGGGCGCAAACGGGAUUAGAUACCCCGGUAGUCCAGGGUGUAAACGCUGCUCGCUUGAUGUUAGUCGGGCUCCGAGCCCAACUAGUGUCGGAAAGAAGUUGUUAAGCGAGCUGCCUGGGGAGUACGGUCGCAAGACUGAAACUUAAAGGAAUUGGCGGGGGAGCACCGCAACGGGUGGAGCGUGCGGUUUAAUUGGAUUCAACGCCGGAAAACUCACCGGGGGCGACGGUUAUAUGAAAGCCAGGCUGAUGACCUUGCUUGAUUUUCCGAGAGGUGGUGCAUGGCCGUCGUCAGUUCGUACCGUGAGGCGUUCUGUUAAGUCAGACAACGAACAAGACCCUCAUCUUUAGUUGCCACUAGUAAGUUCGCUUAUUAGGCACACUAGAGAAACCGCUGGUGAUAAAUCAGAGGAAGGAGAGGGCAACGGUAGGUCAGUAUGCCCUGAAUCCCCCGGGCUACACGCGCGCUACAAAGGCUAGGACAAUGGGUUUCGACACCGAAAGGUGAAGGUAAUCCCGAAACCUAGUCAUAGUUCGGAUUGAGGGUUGUAACUCACCCUCAUGAAGUUGGAAUCCGUAGUAAUCGCGGAUCAACAUUCCGCGGUGAAUACGCCCCUG
rnacentral:rRNA from 1 species